AUGUCGUGGUCUGACACGGACGCGGCGCUCUUCGCGGCCGUCCUGGGCCACGACGCCGCGCGCCACCUGGCCACCACACCGCCGCACCUCGACGGCCCGGCCUCGUCGUCGCCCGAGCUGCAGACGCGCCUGUACGACCUCGUCGAGCGGGGAGGAGCCUGGACCUACGGCAUCUACUGGCAGGAGUCCCGGGCCGGCGCCGGCGUGCUCGGCUGGGGCGACGGGCACUGCCGCGACGGCCCGGCCGAGCAAGCCGGGGCCACGGACAGGAGCCUGGCGCGUAAGCGCGCGCUGCUGCGGCUCCACGCGCUGUAUGGCGGCGGGGACGAGGACGGCGCCGACUACGCGCUCCGCCUCGACCGGGUCACUGGCGUUGAGAUGUACUUCCUGGCGUCCAUGUACUUCUCGUUCCGCGAGGACGCCGGCGGCCCGGGCCGCGCGCUCACCUCCGGCCACCACGCCUGGGCCGCCGUCGAUCCCCACCUGCCCGCCGCACCCGGGUGGUACGUCCGCGCGUCCCUCGCCCAGUCCGCCGGCCUACGCACAGUCGUCUUCCUCCCUUGCAAGGGCGGCGUCCUUGAGCUCGGUUCCGCCGUGGCCAUGCGCGAGAACCCCGAGGUCCUGCGCGCCAUCCAAUCUGUCUUCCACGUCGAGGCCGUCGCGCCGGACGAUCGCAUGAGGAUCUUCGGGAAGGACGUCUCCCGCAGCCCCCCAUUGCCGCCGGUGCAAACCACGGGGAGCGACGCCAGUUGGGCGCUGCGGCUCGGCGGGCAGGCUAAGCAGGAGGCGGCGGCGGCCAAACCGAAACCCCAGCAGGAGCCUCCCAAGACCAUAAGCUUCAGCAACGCCGUCGGCGCGCAGAAGCAGGCGGGCGGCGAGGACCGGAGGCCGCGGAAGCGGGGGCGCAAGCCGGCGAACGGGCGGGAGGAGCCGCUGAACCACGUGGAGGCGGAGCGGCAGCGGCGGGAGAAGCUGAACCAGCGGUUUUACGCGCUGCGCGCGGUGGUGCCCAAGAUCUCCAAGAUGGACAAGGCAUCGCUGCUGAGCGACGCCAUCGCGUACAUCCAGGAGCUGGAGGAGCGCCUCCGGGGCGGCGCGCCGGCGCGGGCGGAGGCCGGGCCGUCCGUGGAGGUGAAGGCAAUGCAGGACGAGGUGGUGCUGCGCGUGAGCACCCCCCUCGACGCGCACCCCAUCUCCGGGCCGCUGAGCGCCAUGCGGGACUCCCAGCUGAACGUGGUGGCAUCGAGCAUGGCGGUGGCGGACGACACCGUCACGCACACGCUCGUGGUGCGGUCGGCGGGGCCCGAGCGGCUCACGGCCGAGGCCGUGCUGGCCGCGAUUUCCCGUGGGGUGAUGAUGAGCGCCACCCCCUCCCCGUGA
rnacentral:rRNA from 1 species